CCUAGGCUACAGAUGGAGGACUGGGUUCCCUAUCUGCGCCCAGGGGAAAGUCCUGGACCGGGACAGAGAGUGCCACGUGCGCGAGCACGCAGACCUCCCCUGCUUCUCACUGUCAACCCGCCAAGAAGUGAGUGAGAUUACAGAAGCCAGGGGCAUGGUUAUGGUGGUGUAGACAAAGGGGUGGGGGGGGGGUGAUCUGCUCUCAAUUUACCUU
rnacentral:sRNA from 1 species